AUCAAUUAUAAUACAUGGGCGACAGAAGGAAAGUGUAAUGAUAUGAUUGAUCGACCAGUAAUUAUGAUUUACUGUACAAUUAUUUUUUGUCCUUUUACUUGAAAAAUCUUUAUGAACAUUAAUUGAUUUUGAACGUAUUCAACAGGAACACAACCAUGCACCAGGAAACAUGCUGUGAAAUCUGCGAUGUCCUUCAGAAUCAGCGACCUGCCGCCACUACGGGUCCCUUGCAAAAUCGCUCUGAUUGGACUUUGCAGAGCAUGAUGAGGAGGAUCUGUGAGCAAAAGAUUAAUCAUAUGGUCGGUAUAAAAAGGCAGCUGGUCGAGCAUGGUUGCACCGAUCGUCAACUGUUGAACAGCAUUGUCGCGCGUAUCAAUGAACUGUACAUGGAACGGGACGAGUUCCCAAGUAUGUUUGCCAACAUGUAACAUCGAUGGAACGCGUCAACUUUUCACUAUGUAAAUACAACAGCUCCGAACAAUCACCAUUUUCUACACAAGAUAAGAUACAAUAUAAAUGAAUUUGAAUUUUA